rnacentral:rRNA from 1 species
GAUGAACGCUGGCGGCGUGCCUAAUACAUGCAAGUCGAGCGAAUGGAUUAAGAGCUUGCUCUUAUGAAGUUAGCGGCGGACGGGUGAGUAACACGUGGGUAACCUGCCCAUAAGACUGGGAUAACUCCGGGAAACCGGGGCUAAUACCGGAUAACAUUUUGAACCGCAUGGUUCGAAAUUGAAAGGCGGCUUCGGCUGUCACUUAUGGAUGGACCCGCGUCGCAUUAGCUAGUUGGUGAGGUAACGGCGCACCAAGGCAACGAUGCGUAGCCGACCUGAGAGGGUGUUCGGCCACACUGGGACUGAGACACGGCCCAGACUCCUACGGGAGGCAGCAGUAGGGAAUCUUCCGCAAUGGACGAAAGUCUGACGGAGCAACGCCGCGUGAGUGAUGAAGGCUUUCGGGUCGUAAAACUCUGUUGUUAGGGAAGAACAAGUGCUAGUUGAAUAAGCUGGCACCUUGACGGUACCUAACCAGAAAGCCACGGCUAACUACGUGCCAGCCGCCGCCGUAA